rnacentral:lncRNA from 1 species
UGUCUGUGUAGAUCAGCUUUUAAAUUAAAUUAAAAAAAAAAUAAUAAUGAUAAGUCAUGAUGAUGUUUGAAACAUCAUCAUGAUUCAUGUUGUGAAGGCAGAAGAUGGGAGGAACAAAAAGAAAGAAUAAAAUAGGCAAAAAGAGAGGAUAACAGAUGAGGAGAAAGAGGAGAAGUGGAUGGACAACGCGGAGAAGAAUAAAAAAAAGAAAUAUAAAGGAAGCAGAGGGCAGCAGAGAAAGGGGGGAGACGUGAGAAGAAUAGGGACACAAAGAAAUAAAAGAAAAGAGCACAGAAGCAGAGCGACUGACAGUGCAGAGAAGCAAACAGACGUGAGGACAGUCGGAGAGUAGUGAAGGAUGGAGAGAGGGCUAGGAGGGAAGCAGCGAAGCAGCGCUUGAGGGGAGAAAAACAGAAGGAGCAAGCUGCCUUCUCUCUCGGUUAAAUCUUUCCAAACUUAUAUUUUAUUUCUGUUUUAAUAAUGUGUAACUAAAUUUAUUUUGGCUAGAGGUUAAUUCAAAGCCAUGAAUAUAUUUGUAAUAUGAAUUGAUUACCUUCAGUUGUGAUUUAAUUUGCUUAACUGCUUGAUUGAUAGCUUAUUUUU